UACGUAGGGGGCAAGCGUUGUCCGGAUUUAUUGGGCGUAAAGAGCGUGUAGGCGGCCAGGUAGGUCUGCUGUGAAAACUCGAGGCUCAACCUCGAGAUGUCGGCGGAAACCAUCUGGCUAGAGUCCGGAAGAGGAGAAUGGAAUUCCCGGUGUAGCGGUGAAAUGUGCAGAUAUCGGGAAGAACACCCGUGGCGAAGGCGGUUCUCUGGGACGGUACUGACGCUGAGACGCGAAAGCGUGGGGAGCGAACAGG
rnacentral:rRNA from 1 species